AUUGAACGCUGGCGGCAGGCCUAACACAUGCAAGUCGAACGAGUGGCGGACGGGUGAGUAAUGUAUGGGAAAGUGCCUAAUGGAGGGGGAUAACUACUCGAAACGGUAGCUAAUACCGCAUACUAUUAGAUGUGCCCAUAUGGGAUUAGCUAGUUGGUGGGGUAACGGCUCACCAAGGCGACGCUCCCUAGCUGGUCUGAGAGGAUGACCAGCCACACUGGGACUGAGACACGGCCCAGACUCCUACGGGAGGCAGCAGUGGGGAAUAUUGCACAAUGGGGGCAAGCCUGAUGCAGCCAUGCCGCGUGUAUGAAGAAGGCCUUCGGGUUGUAAAGUACUUUCAGCGGGGAGGCGUUACCCGCAGAAGAAGCACCGGCUAACUACGUGCCAGCAGCCGCGGUAAUAC
rnacentral:rRNA from 1 species